CUUCGCUUAUCGGAGCAUUGGUGGCGAAAAAAGAAGAUUAUGGGUGAACACUAUUUGGAUUGCCGUACUUACCAUUUUUUAAGAAAGACGCACGCUUCGACAGGGGUGGCGAUUGGCGAAGACGUGCGUUAUCGAUAGGCACUUUAACCCUUAUGCGGCGUUGUCAUCCAUUUGAAAAAAAAA
rnacentral:sRNA from 1 species